rnacentral:tRNA from 1 species
GCCCAGGUGGUGAAAUUGGUAGACACGCCAUCUUGAGGGGGUGGUGACUGUAUGGUCAUAGGAGUUCGAGUCUCCUUCUGGGCA